rnacentral:rRNA from 2 species
GAAUUUGCCCAUUGGUCAGGCAGAACUGUCUGUACUGGUGUGACGAGUUCCUACCUUCUGAGGAAUCUUCAUGCCAUUCAGUUGGUGUGGGGGGAAAUCAGGACUGUUACUUUGAAAAAAUUAGAGUGUUUAAAGCAGGCAUCCGUCUGAAUACAUUAGCAUGGAAUAAUAAAAUAGGACGGUUUGGUUCUAUUUUGUUGGUUUCUAGGAUCGACGUAAUGAUUAAUAGGGAUAGUUG